GUACACUCCUACGGGAGGCAGCAGUGGGGAAUAUUGCACAAUGGGCGCAAGCCUGAUGCAGCCAUGCCGCGUGUAUGAAGAAGGCCUUCGGGUUGUAAAGUACUUUCAGCGGGGAGGAAGGCGAUAAGGUUAAUAACCUUAUUGAUUGACGUUACCCGCAGAAGAAGCACCGGCUAACUCCGUGCCAGCAGCCGCGGUAAUACGGAGGGUGCAAGCGUUAAUCGGAAUUACUGGGCGUAAAGCGCACGCAGGCGGUCUGUCAAGUCGGAUGUGAAAUCCCCGGGCUCAACCUGGGAACUGCAUUCGAAACUGGCAGGCUAGAGUCUUGUAGAGGGGGGUAGAAUUCCAGGUGUAGCGGUGAAAUGCGUAGAGAUCUGGAGGAAUACCGGUGGCGAAGGCGGCCCCCUGGACAAAGACUGACGCUCAGGUGCGAAAGCGUGGGGAGCAAACAGGAUUAGAAACCCCGGUAGUCCCAUGA
rnacentral:rRNA from 1 species